UACGUAGGGCGCGAGCGUUGUCCGGAUUUAUUGGGCGUAAAGAGCUCGUAGGCGGCUUGUCGCGUCGUCCGUGAAAACCUGCGGCUCAACUGCAGGCUGGCGGUCGAUACGGGCAGGCUGGAGUUCGGUAGGGGAGACUGGAAUUCCUGGUGUAGCGGUGAAAUGCGCAGAUAUCAGGAAGAACACCAAUGGCGAAAGCAGCUCUCUGGGACGGUACUGACGCUGAGACGCGAAAGCGUGGGGAGCGAACAGG
rnacentral:rRNA from 1 species